UACAGAGGGGGCAAGCGUUGUUCGGAAUUACUGGGCGGAAAGGGCGCGUAGGCGGCCUGUUAAGUCGGACGUGAAAUCCCCGGGCUCAACCCGGGAACUGCGUCCGAUACUGGCAGGCUUGAAUCCGGGAGAGGGAUGUGGAAUUCCAGGUGUAGCGGUGAAAUGCGUAGAUAUCUGGAGGAACACCGGUGGCGAAGGCGGCAUUCUGGACCGGUAUUGACGCUGAGGCGCGAAAGCCAGGGGAGCAAACGGG
rnacentral:rRNA from 1 species